UCUUACGGUCAUACCACCCUGAACACGCCUCAUCGUAUCUGAUCUCAGAAGCUAAGCAGGGUCGGGCCUGCAGUACUUGGAUGGGAGACCGCCUGGGAAUACCAGGUGCUGUAAGCU
ensembl:rRNA 5S_rRNA 5S ribosomal RNA